rnacentral:lncRNA from 1 species
UAUAAGAGGGUACUAGGCUAAAACUCAAAGGGUCAAAAGAAAAUUGAAAGACUUUUGGGAGUUGAACUAAAAAUAUUGCGUUAACUUUCAAACAACUUCUGAGUUAUUUUUCUUCUCUUUUAUCUUUUUUUUUUACUUUUUUUUUUCAAGAUCAGAAGGAAUAUGUAAUGACAUCCUUCUUUUCUUUUUCUAUUUUUUUCAAUUUUUU